rnacentral:rRNA from 1 species
UGGGGAAUUGUUCGCAAUGGGCGCAAGCCUGACGACGCAACGCCGCGUGGAGGAUGAAGGUCUUCGGAUUGUAAACUCCUGUUGCCCGGGACGAAACGCUCCGACCUAACACGUCGGAGUCUGACGGUACCGGGUGAGGAAGCCCCGGCUAACUCUGUGCCAGCAGCCGCGGUAAUACAGAGGGGGCUAGCGUUGUUCGGAAUUACUGGGCGUAAAGGGCGCGUAGGUGGCCUGUUAAGUCGAACGUGAAAUCCCCGGGCUCAACCCGGGAACUGCGUCCGAGACUGGCAGGCUCGAAUCCGGGAGAGGGAUGUGGAAUUCCAGGUGUAGCGGUGAAAUGCGUAGAUAUCUGGAGGAACACCGGUGGCGAAGGCGGCAUCCUGGACCGGUAUUGACGCUGAGGCGCGAAAGCCAGGGGAGCGAAACGGGAUUAGAUACCCCGGUAGUCCUGGCCCUAAACGAUGAGUGCUUGGUGUGGCGGGUAUCGAUCCCUGCCGUGCCGAAGCUAACGCAUUAAG